AGAGUGAACGCUGGCGGCAGGCCUAACACAUGCAAGUCGAACGGCAGCACAGCCGGAGCAAUCCGGUGGGUGGCGAGUGGCGGACGGGUGAGGAAUACAUCGGAAUCUACCUUGUCGUGGGGGAUAACGUAGGGAAACUUACGCUAAUACCGCAUACGAACUAUGGUUGAAAGCGGCGGACCGCAAGGCGUCGCGCGAUUGGAUGAGCCGAUGUCCGAUUAGCUAGUUGGCGGGUAAAGGCCCACCAAGGCGACGAUCGGUAGCUGGUCUGAGAGGAUGAUCAGCCACACUGGAACUGAGACACGGUCCAGACUCCUACGGGAGGCAGCAGUGGGGAAUAUUGGACAAUGGGCGCAAGCCUGAUCCAGCCAUGCCGCGUGUGUGAAGAAGGCCUU
rnacentral:rRNA from 1 species